CAAUAGCGUAUAUUAAAGUUGUUGCAGUUAGAACGCUCGUAGUCGGAUUUCGGGGCGUUCCGACCGGUCUGCCGAUGGGUAUGCACUGGCCGGAGUGUCCUUUUUGCCGGAGACCGUGCCUACUCUUAACUGAGCGGGGGCGGGAGACGGCACUUUUACUUUGAAAAAAUCGGAGUGUUUCAAGCAGGCAGCUCGCUCUUGCAUGGAUUAGCAUGGGAUAAUGAAAUAGGACUUUGGUGCUAUUUUGUUGGUUUCGAACACCGAAGUAAUGAUGAGAAGGGACAGUCAGGGGCACUCGUAUUCCGCAGAGAGAGGUGAAAUUCUCAGACCCGCGGAAGACGAACCACUGCGAAAGCAUUUGCCAGGGAUGUUUUCACUGA
rnacentral:rRNA from 1 species